AAAAGCCACCCAAAAAUGGCGGCGUGAGAUGGGCUAAUUGGACUAAACACAGUAAGGAAGGCUCGUACAUGAAUCGUAAUUCUUAAAGAGUUUCAAAACGAAGGUGCACAAAUCCUCUUUAGCUCUAAAUGUAUCUAAAUGCUGGUUAAGAAAAACUUAUUGCUGGUUUUACACUCGCAAAGUUUCUGUGAUCACAGUAGGAAUUUUGGGUAAUCGUUCCAUGCUUCGCGCUCCAAUAUAGUAAACGUUAUGUAAUGGAUAUUAUAGUGUACUGAAAAGUUAACUGGAUUCCUCCAUACACAUAUAUACACACCCUAACCUUAAACCUAACCCCUAGUGCCUAACCCCUAACCUAUAUUGGUGCGCGAAACACGGAACGAUAAGUUUUGAAGGAUUUGUAAGAAAUAUUUGAUGGGACUGACUCAGUAUUAAACACCGAGUCAAUUCCCUCAAACAUUUCUUACAAAUCUUUCAAGAAUUUGCCGAUGAAAAAUUCCUACUGUGAUCGCAUAAACUUUGAUGGUGUAAAACCAGCAAUAAGAUUUUUUUCUUAAUCCUGUUUAGCCCCCUCCCCCUUCUUAGAUUAGUAAGCCCCCAUUUCUAUCAUGUUAUCUCUCUAUAUUAUUCUAUUAAUUGUGCAUUGACAAAUCUGUCGAAAGGUACGCCACCAUUAAUAUGCUCGCUGAGCCUUCAAUUUUCUACGCAUCAUUCAAAUAGUCGUAUUGUAGAAAUGUAAUAUAGAGGCAAAAAGCUGGUAUUUUUGUCUGGUAGCAGUCUGCCAGCUCUAUGUGUUGGCAAAUUUGUUUUUAUAUUAUAUUACUUAUUGUAUUGAAUUAUGUUAUAUUCAUGUUGUUGCCCUGUUCUCAAAUUCAUUAUUUGACAUGAUAGAAUUGAAUAAAAGAACAGCGAAAGGCA